rnacentral:lncRNA from 1 species
UUUUUCUUUUCCCACCAGCAUGUUGAAUCAUCCAUUUGUCUGGUAACUUGAGACAGCCGGUAGAGGAGUCACAAGAGUAGGUACCUUUCCAUGAGCUCACCUCUGUUCCACUCCCAUCUCAUAAAGGGUGUGACAGAUACUUCACAGAAGGCAAGGAGAAAACAGGUCAGAAGUAUGUUAUUGGGGGCUUAGCACUGAUUUUGGUUCUGACAAGCUGGCCACUCAGAGACAGCAGUAGCUAUGUCUGUCUCAGUAUGUGGUAGACCAUGCUGUUGGGCCCAUAUAUAUAUAGCCUCCAUGCCUGCCACUGGGGCUACUUCAUUCACGUACCCACUGUGUCAGUUCUGGGAUGACUAAAAUCAACUGGGUCAUCAUGAGUGAAGUCUUGAGCCACUGAGCCACUACCACCUUGUGCCAAAUACUAUCUGUGCCCUGCCUGCCAACCAGGAUGACAACCCUUCACCUGCCAGGUGGAGAGAGACAGCAGCAGGCUAACUAGUUGUCUGUUAAGAACAUCCAGAGCAGGACCAGAAUCUGGGCCAGGAACUGAGAGACAGAUUGGGACAACGGAACAAAUCUACCAGGGUAUGCUGGCCAACUUAGUCUUCUAUUAUGAUCAAGGAAGGAUGGCGCCUGAGAGGUCAUUACUAUGUGACUGGUCUUCAUAUAUUGCUUCUAUGUUUGAUUCUUCCUCCAGAAAUGUUUCAAUAGCAAACUCAAUGAGUUUACGUAGCCAGAAUCUUAGUCAAUAACCUACUCUGCAGUAUCUUAGGGCUGACUUUGUACAUAUGGAAGUCAGCCAGAUCUCAUGAGUGGAUCAUUAAGCUAGAAUUAUUUUCUUGGCACACGUUACAGUAAGGUAAUAUAUGACCUAGGCCUAAGGCAGGCCAUCAACCUGUCAAGAGUAAUGACCCCCAGGGGUAAGGCCUUGCUGUCUCCACCUCAAGGAUGGGUCUUCAAAGUGGAGACAAUAUAGUCCCUAUGGUUUCUACAUGCUUAAUGAGUCUGUUAUGUGAAUUAUAAAGAUAAUAUCUAUGGGGACUUUGAGCUCCUACAAUAAAAAUGUAUAAAUAUAAUCCAAGAAAUUCUGGUAGACAAACAUUGUAAUAAUGCAUAUCAGUCUUUGUAUCUCCAUUUAGUUUUUUUAAAACUUGGCUUGUGUCCAGAAGUAUGCACAGAUAUACAUAGCAAAUGCUCAGUGCUGAAUGUUUAGCUAAAUCCUGUGCUUCAAAGCAAGGAUGAAUAGAUUUUCAUCAGAGCUCAGGACCUGAACUGUAGGCUUCCCUCACAAUGAGAAGUAAAGCUAAGUAUAGGUGAAUCCUGAGUGGCACAUAUUCUAUGAGAGUUUUAUACAUAAUUUGAAUGAUUGAUAUGCUGCAUCUUUCAUUGAAAUGAUUGUCAACCAAUAUUAUUUCAAGUGUUAUUUCCAUGCUAUUUCUAGUUCUGUAUGUUUUACGUAAUUAUAAAUGGCUUCAUAUUUUCAUGUAACAUUGUAUGAUAUGAUUUGGGUUCUAACAGGUUAUCCUUGACACCAGUAUAGAAUACCCAGAAUUAAUUUAAGGUAUAUUAUCAAACCACUAAAAUUAGGAUGUCCAUGAAUUCUGAAGGAGAAAAUAUCAUUUAGAUUGUGUGUGUGUGUGUGUGUGUGUGCGCGUGUGUGUGUGUCCUCUAAGUUUUAAACAUGAGGUGGUUAUAUAAAGGGGACUUCUAAAUUGGGAGAGGAUGAAAAUGGGCUAAAUAUUUCAAACAAACUUCAGUGUGAAAUCAGUAGUAUAUUCAGUAGAGGUGACAGGGAAAAAAGCUGUGGAGGAGAAAAGAGAACAAGAAAAUCAGGAAGCAGUAAAAAUGAUGACUGAGGUCAGGUGGUAAUGGUAACAUCAAGAAACUUGAAUCUGAUGGAAAAAAACCACGGGUAGCUAUAAAAGGGGCAUUCGAAAUAGGAAAUGAUGUGAGAGGAGAAGAUAAUUUUAGUAUAGUUAAAGGAGGUAGCAGCUAUAGGUGUGAAGAGAACGGAUUAAUUUUAAAUGUGUCCCAGAAGUAAGAGAAAUAUUUUUUUGAGGAGUGGGGGAGGAACAAUGAGAUAAACCUGGUUGAGUGUUUUAUGGUUAUCUCAAGUAAGAGUCCACUUGGAGUAUUAUGUCCAUUUUUGGACACCAUACUUUCAUAGGCAUGUUGAUGAACCAGGUCAUUCAAGACACCAGGGUAGUGAGAAGUGUGUUAAUAGUGCUUCUACCAGAGAGUUAGAGUGACAUGGCAGCUGUCCUCAUAUCUAUCGAUCUGUCAUAAGGAAGAAAGAUCACAUGCCUCUGCAUUGUUUAAAAGAAAGAAACAGACCCAAAGAAAGUCAGGAGGCAGAUUUUGCUCAAUAUAAUGAUCUAACAAUUAGAUGUGCCCUGUAACAGAGUGCGCUAUUGUAAAGUAAUGUUCUCCCAUCUUUCCAAGUAUUCAAGCAGAGAAUAGUCAAUAAUACAACUAACGACUGGAAGGGUUUCUUUUAUUCUAAGGUACUAUCAGAUGGAGGAACAUGUAGUUUGUGGUCAGUGACCUCAGGUUCUCACAUUCACGGUGCUGCAUCCUGGUUUUCAUUUGGGGACUGUUUUCUGGCACUCCCGCCUGUCUGGAGGUGAGAUAUGCUUGUUAUGACAACCCUUCUGUCACAAUAAAUUGGCUGGUGCAUUCAGUGUCAUCUAUGGCUUUUUACUUCUAUUAAUUCAUUAAUUCCGGGCCCCCAAGCGAAAGUUUCCAAAGGCCUUUUUUCUUCUUUGUUAAUUAUAACAUGAUAUCAAUCAGCACCCAAGCAGAAACUAGAAGAGUAUUCAAACUAGGUAAUUUGAGGAGAGUUUAAUAAAGCAACAGCUUACAAAGAUGUGGACAGUGGCUUAAGGAAGCCACUAAAGGAUGGCACAGUCCUCCAGGCUUGUGAUCAGGGGAGUCAUUACCAUCCCCCAGCCUGAAGAUCAAGAGGCUGGAGCUAUUUCCAGACCCUGAAGAGGGUGGUUGUAUGGAGAGGACUAUCUGAAAGAAGAGGCUGUAGCCAACACAAGAAAGCCAGGGAAUAAAUAAUCCAUCCUCACUCUCCUGCUGUUGCCUCUCAAUGGCCAAACCCAACCAUGAGCUGGGCAUGAAGGGAGCUAGCUGACAGCUAUAUGGCUCAGCUUCCUGGGGCCCAGAGCAGAGUGGAGCUGAGAAGAGAGUGAAUCUGGAGGGGUUAAUGGAAGAAACCACAGAAAGCAAAUUCCUCCCUGAGAUACAGUUGGUGCUUAGGCAAUAUUUGUACUGACAGGAAUGUGGCCACAUAUUUUGGAAAAGCUCAGGGACUCAAUCCUCUGCUAGCUGCUUUGAGGCCAUGUCUGCCGAAGUCACUGUCCUCUACAGGGUUUUUUCCUCAUGUUCAGUGUUUAGUCCUUUCCACCUUCACGAAAACGAUGCCUACUUAAUAUACAGAAAGGAGGACAUACAGAAAUUUUUCAUCUUAAUUGGAUAUUACAGUUGCCCCACUUUGGAGCCAAGAAGAGCUGAAUAAAGCUGAGAAACACCUAAACAGAAAGGAUGCUCAAUAAAGGAAUGUAGAAGAAUGUUGGGAGAGAAGCAUUCUCACCUAUUUCUGAUCUUAACAGGCAGCAUUGCCAGCCAUCACUCCAUGGAUCCUCUCAUCUGGAAGUGCUCCACUUCAGAAAUCUUAGAUUCCAAGAUCCACUCUCAGAAAACAACCUCCAGACAUUUCUGCCGUCCACACAGUUGCUUCUUCUCCCUCUGGCGCACGGCCACCUGUGCUAUCUGCAGCCUCACCGGCAUUCCCUGGCCUCGCCCUCUGCACUUCAUCCUGACAGGCAUGGAGUCUCCUCCUGUCACCCCAGAGCUAUGUGGUGUCUUGAUUAGGUGACUUUGCCCAUGUUGUCAUUCAACUUAAUAUUUAUUGAUCUAUCUCUGUGAGAAUCACUUGGCUGGCCCUUUCGUCUGGAGUGUCAGCCUCCUCUCACCUGCCCCCAGGAGGCUUCCUCCUUCUUCUUUUAACUGCUUGCACAUCUUUAAGACUCAGCCUUGGAGACACGUCUUUUAAAAAGCCUUGAAUGGGCCUGGGAAGUGGCUCACACCUGUAAUCCCAGCACCUUCAGAGGCCAAAGUGGGAGGAUCACUUGAGGCCAGGAGUUCAAGACUAGCCUGGACAACAUGGUGAAAGCCCGUCUCUACUAAAAACACAAAAAUUAACCGGGUAUGAUGGCACACACCUGUAAUCCCAGCUACUCAGGAGCCUGAGGCAUGAGAAUCACUUGAACCUGGGGAGGCUGCAGUGAGCCAAGAUUGAACACCACUGCUCUCCAGCCUGGGCAACAGAGCAAGACUCUGUCUCAAGAAAAAAAAAAAAAAAGAUACCUUCUCUGACCACUCCCUCUAUUCUUCCCUUUCCCAUAACACUAAGUCAUAUGCGCCCAAAACAAUUUGUGCACAUCUCCAUCAGUGAGUGGUUUUCCAUGAUGGUCAUCCUCCCCGACUAGGCUGGUGUAUUCUAGUGUGCUCACCUUUGGGGGUCUCUACUACUGAUUAUUUGCAAGACCUAAGGCAACUUAUUUCACUUUGUAAGCUUCUGUUUCCUCAACUACAAAACCAGGUUAUUAAUAGAAAUUGUAUGUAAGGAACCUAGCACAAUGCUUGAUAUACAGUAAGUGCAAAGUAUGUUAAAUGUUUAAUAAAUUAAUGUCAUAGGAACACCAUUAGAAAACUCCUUAAAAGAAAAAUAUUUAUUUUUUAAGCACUUGUAGGGACAAGGAGCUUGUCCCCUUGUUUGAUAAUUCUAUUUAUAGUGUAACUGAAGCCAUCGUAGUUUGACUCACACUAGUUUUAUUGACAAAAAUGAGUGCCCUCUGCCCCUACUCCCAGUGUCCCCUGUUCUGCUAAAGAAUCUUGAGACUCUCUCAAGGUGCUCUGUCAUGUGUAUUCAGAAACUGGUCCCUCUGGGGCAAAGCUGUUCUCAGCUGGUGCCUGUGGCUGCCACCACUGCUGUGGCCUGAGGACAGAAGUCAUAACCCUCCUCUGCUUUGCCUCAGGGGUUGGUUGUGGACCUUUCCCCU